rnacentral:misc_RNA from 1 species
CAAGGUUUCCGUAGGUGAACCUGCGUGUGGCUGCAUGAGAACGUAUUCUCUUGAGACCGUCAUCUCUUGGCUGCAAGGUAAAAGUUCGUCGACUCCUGGUGCAGCGUACCAUCAGAAGUCGCGAAUUUGACUCUGCCGGCAAAGCACCACCAGCUCACACCAGGAGCCUGAAACCCGAACACAACUGGUAACAAUGGAUAUCUUC